UACGUAGGAUGCAAGCGUUAUCCGGAAUGAUUGGGCGUAAAGCGUCUUAAGGUGGCUUUGUGAAGUCUACUGUUAAAGAUCAAGGCUUAACCUUGAGCAGGCAGUAGAAACUCAUAAGCUUGAGUACGGUAGGGGCAGAGGGAAUUCCCGGUGUAGCGGUGAAAUGCGUAGAUAUCAGGAGGAACACCGGUGGUGUAGACGGCUUUCUGGACCGUAACUGACGCUGAGACACGAAAGCGUGGGUAGCAAAC
rnacentral:rRNA from 1 species